ACCUGACUCAGAGCCGCGGAGGGGGGAGGAGGAGUCACGAGGAGGGCGGCCCGGCCGCGCCUCUAGCCCCGGCUCGGGCCCUCAGCCCUCCGCCCCGGCCCGCAUACAACGCUGUCUGCACCGCUCCCCUGCCUUCUUCCGGGCUCCCAGAGCACCGCUAUGGAGAUGCUCUCCCGGCAUUUGAGGAAGAAUUGAUUGUCCUCAUCCUGCAACUGUACUUGCCCAACCGAUAUUUAUUGAUGCCUGCAGUGUCCUGGGUGCCUACCAAGGGGCACAGAACUGGAUCCGACGCAGACCCUGCCUGCCUUCAGGUUGCUUGAAGAUGAACAGAGAGAUCGGACCUCUGCAUGAAGCCAGACUGCUCAUCAUUCCAGACAUCUUCAGCUGCUACACCCAGAACAAGCAUUCGAAAUAUGAACAGGAUGGUGAGCCAGAUCUUUCCAAUCAUGGUGGAGUGGAUGUGAACUUCCUCCAGAGUAUCUCCAAGGAGAUUCCAGUCCCCCAUGUUUAUUUAGUCAGCCAUCUUAGCUCUGAUCCACAUCAAAUAAGAGGCAGAUAAAUUCUUCCAUUCUGAAGGGAGCACUAUUUCUUAAAGCAAACCUAUGGUGAAAAUAUAACAAUAUGUCACUUCUA